rnacentral:rRNA from 1 species
CAGUAGCCGCGGGAACACGAAGGGGGCUAGCGUUGUUCGGAAUUACUGGGCGUAAAGCGCACGUAGGCGGAUAUUUAAGUCAGGGGUGAAAUCCCAGAGCUCAACUCUGGAACUGCCUUUGAUACUGGGUAUCUUGAGUAUGGAAGAGGUGAGUGGAAUUCCGAGUGUAGAGGUGAAAUUCGUAGAUAUUCGGAGGAACACCAGUGGCGAAGGCGGCUCACUGGCCCAUUACUGACGCUGAGGUGCGAAAGCGUGGGGAGCAAACAGGAUUAGAUACCCCAGUAGUCCCUGUCUCUUAUAC